AGCAAUGAGUAGAGAAAUGGAUGAUUAGCGUCGUCCCGCCGCACAGUGGGGCGACCAUAUACCAAUGUUGGACAUUGGUAUAAUGAAGUAUGAAGAUCGAGCCCUAGGGAACCCUAGCGGGCACAUGGUACGAGCGUCAGCUUGAACCUCGGUAGUGGACCGACAUCAGUCUGUGACUCAGGUACGCCUGUAUAAGCCGUAUAGUGCCAUGAUCAAGGCCCAUCCGAUGCAACUUAUAAAGCAGCGCAUCGUGCCAAACCGUAUCAAACGCCUUGGCCAAAUCAAAGCCUGGCAUUAAUCCUUGGAUGACGGACCAUGGAGGGAGCCCCAUUUUAAAUUUAAUUUUGUUCUCUAAAUUUUACACUGUAC